UGGGGAAUAUUGGACAAUGGGCGCAAGCCUGAUCCAGCCAUGCCGCGUGAGUGAUGAAGGCCUUAGGGUUGUAAAGCUCUUUCACCGGGGAAGAUGAUGACGGUACCCGGAGAAGAAGCCCCGGCUAACUCCGUGCCAGCAGCCGCGGUAAUACGGAGGGGGCGAGCGUUGUUCGGAAUUACUGGGCGUAAAGGGCGCGUAGGCGGCCGGUCGCGUCGGAUGUGAAAGCCCCGGGCUCAACCUGGGAGGUGCAUCCGAUACGGGCCGGCUCGAGAACGGGAGAGGAGUGUGGAAUUCCCAGUGUAGAGGUGAAAUUCGUAGAUAUUGGGAAGAACACCAGUGGCGAAGGCGGCACUCUGGCCCGUUUCUGACGCUGAGGCGCGAAAGCGUGGGGAGCAAACA
rnacentral:rRNA from 1 species